ACACUGAUGGUGUAGUGGUUAACAUGCUUGCCUUCCAAGCAAGCGUCGGGGGUUCAAUUCCCUCUCAGUGUA